GCCCGGGGCGAGGAAGGAGAUAUCGGAGCCCAGCCGGGUGCAGAAGCCGCUGUCCUGGCAGUUACCGCUCUCCUGUCUGUCGGUCGUGGCACGCCCCGUUUCUUUCUGCCUUCUCCCGCCGUCUGUGUUUGCCCACGGUGUCCUGCCGCCCCCGUGAAGCACCACCCGUGUAUCUCGCACUCUGGUUAUUCUAACUCCCAACAAAAUGUGGUUAGGAACUGCAGCCAUGAUGUCAACGCCUGGUUCACCUUGGUCGUUUCACGCAGGGCUGUGCUGCCAAUGGCGCAGUUGGCGGGACCACCAGGAAGGCAAACAAUUAAAAAUAAGGUAAAAGUCAUUAUUUUAAGACAUAUAUUUAAAAAAAAAUAUUGUGCCUCACUAGCUAACACUUCAUAAAAGCUAUAAAGACUCUCUAGAGAGAAAAUGUGGCCCUCUGGAUUAAUUUGCCAGAGAUGGAUUGACCGCUAAAUGUUUCUGUGCUAUCUACAAUGAGGACACCCAAGUUUUCCUCCCCAUAUAGUGCUGUAAGCAGUUGCAAGACCUGUGACCACAGCAGCAGGAGGGAGGACUGCACCAUGUCCACAAGAAGCUUUUCAGCAGUUUGGAAAGCAUCUGCAGGGCUCCUGGAGCUGGAAGAGAUUUGGUAUGUGGAAUCAGAAGCAGAGAUCCACUUCAAUUCUGUUGGUGAACAAGACACACUGGCUUUAAAUUUUAAAAACAAGUUAAAAAUAGGCACCACUGUAAUGGACAUUUCUGUUUGUUUUGUGGUUGCAUUGUAAUGCAAAGUAGGAAGGUUAUUUUUUCAUAGUUUCCUGUUCUGAAUUUCAUCUCAGAAAUGAGAUACUGAUAACUCUCAAUGGGAUUUUUUGUGGUCAGACGUUAGAAAUAAAUAUUUGCUCCACAAGUUUGCA
rnacentral:lncRNA from 1 species